CGAGGGGUAACAUAGUUGCUUGCAACUGAUGACGACCGGCGCACGGGUGCGUAACGCGUAUAGUACCUACCUUAUAGUAAGGGAUAGCCCAGAGAAAUUUGGAUUAAUACCUUAUAGUAUCUUAAGUGAGCCUUCACUAAGGAUUAAAGAUUUAUCGCUAUAAGAUGGCUAUGCGUUCUAUUAGCUAGUUGGUAUGGUAACGGCAUACCAAGGCUACGAUAGAUAGGGGUCCUGAGAGGGAGAUCCCCCACACUGGUACUGAGACACGGACCAGACUCCUACGGGAGGCAGCAGUGAGGAAUAUUGGACAAUGGAGGCAACUCUGAUCCAGCCAUGCCGCGUGUAGGAAGACUGCCCUAUGGGUUGUAAACUACUUUUAUAGAGGAAGAAACCAUUUCACGUGUGAAAUGCUGACGGUACUCUACGAAUAAGGAUCGGCUAACUCCGUGCCAGCAGCCGCGGUAAUACGGAGGAUCCAAGCGUUAUCCGGAAUCAUUGGGUUUAAAGGGUCCGUAGGCGGUUUAGUAAGUCAGUGGUGAAAGUUUUCGGCUCAACCGGAAAAUUGCCAUUGAUACUGCAAGACUUGAAUUAUUGUGAAGUGGUUAGAAUGUGUAGUGUAGCGGUGAAAUGCAUAGAUAUUACACAGAAUACCGAUUGCGAAGGCAGAUCACUAACAAUUAAUUGACGCUA
rnacentral:rRNA from 1 species